rnacentral:rRNA from 1 species
UACGUAGGGUGCAAGCGUUAAUCGGAAUUACUGGGCGUAAAGCGUGCGCAGGCGGUUUUGUAAGUCUGUCGUGAAAUCCCCGGGCUCAACCUGGGAAUGGCGAUGGAGACUGCAAGGCUAGAAUCUGGCAGAGGGGGGUAGAAUUCCACAUGUAGCAGUGAAAUGCGUAGAUAUGUGGAGGAACACCGAUGGCGAAGGCAGCCCCCUGGGCUAAGAUUGACGCUCAUGCACGAAAGCGUGGGGAGCAAACAGG